rnacentral:pre_miRNA from 1 species
CAGAUCAGUGCUUGGCACCUGGUAAGCACUCAGUAAAUCCUUGAUGAGUGCCUGCUACGUGCCUAGGCAUUGUGUUGA